rnacentral:rRNA from 1 species
AACGAACGCUGGCGGCAUGCCUAACACAUGCAAGUCGAACGAGAUCUUCGGGUCUAGUGGCGCACGGGUGCGUAACGCGUGGGAAUCUGCCCUUUGGUUCGGAAUAACAGUUGGAAACGACUGCUAAUACCGGAUGAUGACGAAAGUCCAAAGAUUUAUCGCCAGAGGAUGAGCCCGCGUAGGAUUAGCUAGUUGGUGUGGUAAAGGCGCACCAAGGCGACGAUCCUUAGCUGGUCUGAGAGGAUGAUCAGCCACACUGGGACUGAGACACGGCCCAGACUCCUACGGGAGGCAGCAGUGGGGAAGAUUGGACAAUGGGCGAAAGCCUGAUCCAGCAAUGCCGCGUGAGCGAUGAAGGCCUUAGGGUUGUAAAGCUCGUUUACCCGGGAUGAUAAUGACAGUACCGGGAGAAUAAGCUCCGGCUAACUCCGUGCCAGCAGCCGCCGUAA